ACCGGUUAUGACUCUUCACGCCAAGAAGACGAUGGGUCAACAAUUGAAGAUAAAGAAAUGGGCCCUGGUGUGUUGUCAAGCUAAAGAACUUCUUGCUCAUCUUUAGAGAGUGCUCGCCAAUGAGUCCGUUAGAGUAAAAAGAGGGCAGAGUAGUGCGAUGUUAAAAUUAAAUGACAAAUAAUGUGAGGUCAAUCCACAGGGGGGUAAGCAAGGGACUUGUGGGAAAACGACUAUUAACGGCGAUGCAAGAGAGAGUAAUGAUUCCAAAACGGUGAUGCAAGGAAGACUAUUGAGUGGCUGGCUGCGUUAAUGUUAUUUUCAAUAUUUUCCAUAUGAUGAGAUGAGCUGGUCGACAAGCACACCAGAUAUAAAGAGUCUGGACUUACAGAGCCUGAAUUCUGUUUGAUAACCCUUCUUCAUGGUUUCCUAAAGUGAGCUCCUCAAAUUGGUAGCAUAUACGAUGGAACAUUUUAAUGGUAUUUCUACUUCUACUUUUUUGCUAUGGAUAUUGUUUUUGUUUCUUGAAGCCAUGAAUCAAGUCAAAAGGCAAACUCAUUUAAGUGCAAUUCCCUUUAAUAUAUGCACAUGGUCUUCAAACUUGAGAGGCAAGGCCAAAUGGUGGAAGGUGAUAAAGGACUGUCUUUCAAAAGUGACAUUAAAGCUCAUAAAAAGCCAUGAAUCAAGUCAAAAGGCAAACUCAUUUAAGUGCAAUUUCCUUUAAUAUAUGCACAUGGUCUUCAAACUUGAGAGGCAAGGCCAAAUGGUGGAAGGUGAUAAAGGACUAUCUUUCGAAAGUGACAUUAAAGCUCAUAAAAAGUGGCUAUGGAGUUCUUGAAGAAGUGCUUGAAGACAUCACAUGGGCGCAUUUGCUGAAUGUAGAGGGUUACCAGAACCCAUUUGCUGUAUUUUAUAGAUAAAGUUGUUGGUGAAGGCUUUAUCUCCCCAUUUGCUUGAUGGAUUAUUGUCUCUCCUCCAAAUGCCAAAGAGUUGGUGUGACAACUUGAAGUUUAUUUUUAUGAAUUGUAAUAAGAAAUAUAAAUGAGUUGACGAUUUUCUCUUCUGGACAACUAAAUGGAUUCAUUUUAUGUUAUUGGGUUGUGUUGAUAUAUUGGGUUGAAAUGGUAUUGUUAUUCUGCGAUAAUGCAAUGUGGAUUUGCAAAUUGCAAGUGGGUCUUAUGGUGUUGGUCAAAGAGAUUUACUAGCAGAAGUCUUAUAGAUAUACGAAUAUACUUAGAACAAUUUUUUUUUUUUUUUUGAAAAACUCGAGUUUUCUGCCCCUGUUGAACUUGGCAGCUGCAUUUCACUUACCCCAUUAGACCUUGGUAAUAAAGUGUUUAACGGGUUACUUCCUGAGGAAAUAUCAGGUUCACCCGAGAUGCAAUGCUUGGUUCAAAAGGGAUAGCUUGACAUCUUAAGUUCUGAAUUUUUUUCUUUUGCAGCUAUUCCGAGUUCAAAAGAGGCGGCCUCCAUCAGCAAACAAAGACCUGAAAGGAAUGAUGAAGACUAUUAAGAUUCGAGACAUUGAGCCAUUAUAGCAAGCUUUAGAUGCCACACGGUCUAGGAAAACUACAGAUUAUUGUGCUAUGAGUUCGGGUGAGUCUACCAUUGGAAUGAGGUGGCCUGGGUACAUUAGAGAUAUCAGUGUAUGAUUUGCAGAAAACUGCUGGUUGGAGCUGUGGGCUAACUUUCCAGCAUCCUAAAUGACUUUUGGCAGCUUUUGAGAAUCUGUUACAAAAACCCGGAAAGGCACAAGUCAAUCAUUAGACCCGAUGCACAUGACACGACCCUAAUGAAUGUGGUGCACCAUUUCCAUUUACAGAAAGGGUUCACAUUCACGGAUUUGCCUCAAAGUACUGCAGUGAUUAAUCAUUACAAGUAUCAAGUGUGGGAAGCUUUUACAGAUGUUUGUUUGUGAUUUGGUAACAGAUGUAAUAUAGUGUUCUUUUUCUUUUGUAUUAUUGGAAAAUAUGUUUGUAAAUUGACUAUUGAUUAUAAAGUAGAGACAUAUGAUGAUAAUGAUCAUCUUCAAACUUCGUAAA